rnacentral:tRNA from 1 species
GGAUGCUUAGCUCAGUUGGUAGAGCACUGUGUUCACAUCGCAGGGGUCACUGGUUCGAGUCCAGUAGCGUCCACCA